GACGAACGCUGGCGGCGUGCUUAACACAUGCAAGUCGAACGAGUGGCGAACGGGUGAGUAACGCGUAUCAACCUGCCCUUCAGAGGGGGACAACAGUUGGAAACGACUGCUAAUACCGCAUACCAUCGGAUGUGCCCAGAUGGGAUUAGCUAGUAGGUGGGGUAACGGCUCACCUAGGCGACGAUCCCUAGCUGGUCUGAGAGGGCGACCGGCCACAUUGGGACUGAGAUACGGCCCAAACUCCUACGGGAGGCAGCAGUGGGGAAUAUUGCACAAUGGGGGAAACCCUGAUGCAGCAACGCCGCGUGCGGGAUGACGGCCUUCGGGUUGUAAACCGCUUUCAGCCAUGACGCGGUAGUGGCAGAAGAAGCACCGGCUAACUACGUGCCAGCAGCCGCGGUAAUUC
rnacentral:rRNA from 1 species